UGUUCUGAAUUUCUUGGAGUGGGUCUAAGGGCUUCCCUGUUCACAUGUGUGUCUGUUCAUUGGGAUUAUAUUUUCCUUUCAUUUGGUGAGUUGGACAAAAAGAAUUGUUGAUCUUAAUUUAUCUUAAUUUGUUUGCAAAAAAUCAAAUUAAAAUAAUAGAACAAUAAAAAUAGAAAACAAAUAAAAAUAACAGUGCUUAGAUUGGUUGGUUCUUGGCAUUGCUUCGUCUCUACCUCCCUAGUUUAGUCCUCACCAUCUACUUGAUGUCUUUUUGUGUUGUUGUUCUUGUCCUUUCAAAUCCUUGAGCUGCCCCACGCACAGUUAUUCGUUCUCAUUCUCACUUUUGCUAAUGCAGGAGUUUAGACCUAACCAUAGCAUUCAUGCGACCAUGUUUAAUCUAUCCGAGAUUGCUUGAGUUCUCUUUGCUUUUAUUUAAUUCAAAGAAGCUCUACCUUCUUCUCUUGAUGUAUGUUUUUUUUGAGUGUUGUUUAAUUUCUAUGAGUUUACAUGUGCAUAAGUGCUGGGAAUUCCUGUCCUGUUCAUUUUAGGAUCCAUUCCAGGGUAGGCACAUGGGAUGCAUGGAGUCCUUUCAAUGUUCCUAACUGGGUUAAGGUUUGUUUCAUAUUCCAGGAUGUGGUCUGUUUUAGGAAGAUCUCCUAGGCUGUUAUAUGUUUGCAAUCUUUGGCAUUUCAGGGGAAUGGCCAUAGAUAUCUCUUAGGCUCACUAGAUGUGUAGUGUCCAUUAUUUCUGUUAUUUUUAUGUUUCUUGUGCAGAGGACCAGUCUACUGGAGAAAGUGUGGUAAUGACAUCAUCAGUUGUUGGUGCAUUGGAGUUAAUCUGUGCCUUUUAAAGUCCAAUCUAAUUUUUAUGAAGUUGGGUUGCACAGUUUGGAACAUAUAUGCUAUACGAAUUGUCCUUCCUCAUCUCUUGGCCUUGUUGUUUGUUUGUAUCUUAGUUUAAAGUCUACUUUCUUAGGUACCAGGAUAGUAAUACCUGCUUAGUUCCUGGUCUCACCUGCCUCAAAUAGUCUUUCCACUCCUUCACUGUAUGCUAGUGAAGGUAAGACGAAGUUCUGUAUAUCCGAGAACUGAAUUCUGUUUAUCAGUUCAUUCAGUUAAAGUGUGUCUUUGGAUUAGGGUGCUGAUGUCAUUAAUAUUAUUGACAGAUAUGUGUUAACUGUUGUCAUCUGUUGGGUAUCGCUUUGUGUAUUACUUGUCUGUUUUGUGCUGUAAUAUCGAUGGCUUCGUAUGUCCGUGUUUUUACAGUGUCUUUGCUGUGCUUCCUCCUCUCUCCUGUCCACAGUUGUUCCCAGUGUCCACUGUGAGACCCACUGCUCAUCGUGUGUUUUAGCCUGUGUGCAUUGGAACAAGUCGUUCUUCCUUUCCUUUUUAUUUCUUGAUUUGGUUUUUUGGGGGGAGGGGAAUUUUUGUUCUUUUUUUAAUUGGGUAAUUUUUAUUUACAUUUAAAAUGCUAUCCCUUUCCCCCCACCCAACCACCCACCCCCUCUCGCCACCACACCCUGACAUUCGCCUACACUGGGAGGUCAAGCCUUGGCAGGAACAAGGUCUUCUCCUCCAUUUGGUGCCCAACAAGGCCAUCCUCUGCUACAUAUGCAGCUGGAGCCAUGGUUCUGUCCAUGAGUACUCUCUGAGUAGUGGUUUAAUCCCUGGGAGCUCUGGUUUGGGUGGUUGUUCUUAUGGGGUUGCAACUCCCUUCAGCUCCUUCAAUCCUUUCUCUAACUCCUCCAAUGGAGACCCUGUUCUGAGUUCAAUGGUUUGCUGUGAGCAUUCUCCUCUGUAUUUGUCAUGCUCUGGCAGAGUCUCUCAGGAGACAGCUAUAUCAGGCUCUUGUCAGCAUGCACUUCUUGGCAUCAGCAAUAUUGUCUAUGUUUGGUGACUGUAUAUGGGAUGGAUCCCCAGGUGGGGAAGUCUCUGGAUGGUCUUUCCUUCAGUGUCUGCUCCACACUUUGUCUCUGUAUCUCCUCCUACAAAUAUCUUUAUGCCCCCUUUAAGAAGGACUGAAGCAUUCCCACUUUGGUUGUCCUUCUUCUUGAGCUUCAUGUGGUCUGUGGAUUGGAUCUUGGGUAAUCCAAGCUUUUGGGUAAUAUCCACUUAUCAGUGAGUGCAUACCAUGUGUGGGUUUUUUUGUUUGUUUGUUUGUUUUGUGUCUGGGUUAACCUCACUUAGGGUGAUAUUUUCUAGUUCCAUCCAUUUGCCUAUGAAUUCAUGAAGUCAUUGUUUUUAAUAGCUGAGUAGUACUCCAUUGUGUAGAUAGAUGUACCAUAUUUUCUGUAUCCAUUCCUCUGUUGAGGUACAACUGGGUUCUUUCCAGCUUCUGGCUAUUAGAAAUAAGGCUGCUAUGAACAGAGCGGAGCACAGUUUCCUAGCUACUUUCGUCCAGACUGGCAGUAGCCAUCUUUUAGAUAUUAAAGGAUAUCUCUCAGGUUCUUCUGGAUUUUAAGGUUUCCAUUAACAAGUUGGUUGUCAUUCUGAGGGGUUUUCUUUCAUGUGUCACUUGUGACAUUUUUUUCCUCCCUCAACUUUCAGUAUUCUCUUGUUAUUCUGUGCCAGAGUCUUUUACAAGUAAUGAGCAACAGGGUGUUUGUUUCUUGUUCUCUCCCUUUGCUAUAUAAAGUUUUUCAGUUAUCUGGGUGGGUGUGUCUUUUCUCACUUUAAGUAUCUCUUUCUAUGAUCCUGUUAAUGAUCUGAUCAAAGCCUGAGAUCCUUUUGCUUCUGUUAUACCCUCCACUCAAGCCUCUGGGCUUUCGUGGUGCCACAGACUUCCAUUAUGUCCCUUGACUGUCUUUAUUUUCCUUUCCUGUGCUUUGCAAGUGUGCUUCACUUUCUCUGUUCUAUAUUCACGUCCUGAUAUUGUGCCCUGCCCAUGACCCAUUCAACGAGUAAUGAUUUUCCCUGCAUUUCCUACUCAGUUACUGAGUUCAGUUUGAUCUUCAGAUGAGGAGAGGCGCUUUCAGGGUCACAUCUUCAUUUCUGCUUAAGUUCUCUUCACUAUUUCUCUCCCUUCACUGUACUCAGGUUUCAAAUCUUAGUUUUUCAUUGCCAUUUCAUUUACCUGUAUAUUUUUUAGACAUCACUCACACACUUGUUGCCUACUUUCAAUCCAUUGAGCUUUCCUUAUGUGAUCUUUAAACUCCUUGCCGUCUUUGAUAAUGUUUAUGAUUAUUUCCAACCUGUGUCCUUGGGUUGAUCUGGGUCCUAAUUGUCAUUGGAGGAAAAUUCUGUAAUAUUACUGCAUUCCGGGUUGGGUCUGCUGUUUUGGCUGUUCAUAUUGUGUGUGCUUCUGUGAUAUGAUCUCAGCCUGUGGACUUCUUUCUUUUUCUGUGUGUCUGGUGUGAGAGUCUGGCCAGCUUCAGGCUGGACCAGUGCAGCAACUGUGUGAGCAGGACUAGUCGUGUGUGACAUUUGGAGAUGGUACAGGUGGGUUCUUUGUGGUAAUCUCACUAAGGAAAUUCAGAAGAUACACUUAGUGUAGCUUGACAGUGUAGACCUAGUGUGGGCUGGCUUGGUUCCCAUGGGACUCACCAGGUAAAGCCUGUGCAGGAGGUGUCUGUCUAGAGCUAGGCAUAGGAGAAUGUGGAUGUCAUGGGGAGGCUCUUAGACAUUCAUGUUCUGUAUGUAAACAAGAGAGUAUGUGAAUUAACAGAUAUAUCCAUUUCCUUGAUUCCUCCAUGCAUAUCUAAGCAGCUCCAGGCAGGAGGAAUGUUUGAAGGAAUUAAGAAAGUUCUACUCCUUUCUCUUUCUUGAUUCAUAAUACCUUUUAAACCAAUGAUCUGAAAAACCCACCAUUCUCUUAAAACUGUUUUAUAAAGUAAUGUCCCUGGGAUGGUGGAAAGGAGUGGGGCACAUCAGACCACAGCCAGAUACUGCAGCCUGGACAGAACGUUAUCCAGCACUGAUCAAGAAGAUUUUAAAUGUUAUUCACUAGAACCGUUUUUUUAAAAGAUUUAAAGACAGCUGCUGAAAAGAUUUCCUUUUUCUCUUGUGAUAGUUCGUAUAUGCUUGGGCCAGGGAGUGGUACUAUGAGGAGGUGUGGCCUUGUUGGAGUAGAUGUGUCACUGUGGCUGUGAGAUAUAUUACCCUAAUCCUAGCUGCCUGAAAGGGAGUCUUAGAGUAGGAGCCUUCAGAUGAAGACUUAGAAUUCUCAGCUCUUCCUGAACCCUGCCUGCCUGGAUGCUACCAUACUCCUGCCUUGAAUAUGAUGACUUGAACUUCUGAAUCUGUAAGCCAACCCCAAUUAAAUGUUGUUCUUGUAAGAGCUGCCUUGGUCAUGAUGUCUGUCCACAGCAGUAAACCCCUACUAAGAGUUCACCCAUUCAGCCACAGAUAUUAGAAAAUUUAUAAAAGUUUUUAAAUUUUCAAAGAAAGGUAGGUCCCAGCUGCUUAAAGGGUGCUUAAAAACAGAGAACACUUGAGACAUCUUGUGCAUAAACUGAAGGCCACCAUCUCUUCUGAUGAUAAAUCAUGGUUAAACAUACAUACCCAGCAGAAUUUUGGUUUCAUAUCCUCUGUAAGGAGAAGCCAACCACUAGGACUGGCCCAACCCCAAGCUCCUAUAAUUGUUUAACUAACCCGUUCAACUACUUUCAUCCACAUUAAACAAGACCCCGUGGCCCUGGAAACAGAAGGAAAUAUUGCCAUCCUCCGUAUUGCCUGAAUGAACAGACAGACAUCCUGGUGCCCUGGGUGUCACCAUGGGACAAACUUCUGCUGCCUGUGAGGACCUGGAACCUCCAAAUCUUAUGGGUCUGAUUCAUCCAGAGAAAUAGGUACAGAUGGAUAUUUCUGCCUCUAGCAAGCCUAUUAUCGGUCAGCACAAAGGCUCGUACAGACUAGUACUGAGGAUGCAAUCGACCAGUACCAAGGCUACUGUAGAUCAGGAGAAAGGCUACUACAGUUCAGCACAAGGCUGCUGACCUGGAUGCCUGACAAACAGCCUACAACCAGUGGGACCUAUUGAUAUUCUGAUGACAAACCACAAAUUCGAUACUGCCUGAGACUCCAUGAUGAGGAAGAAAUGGACAGCUCAAACCCUCAGGUUAAGAUGGUGGCCAAAGAGGCACUGAAACCAACUGGGGAAGGUCCCUGUGAGUGAUUCUCUCCACUUGGAAGGCUGUGAAGACAGGUGGCCUUACAGCAUGGAUCCACCACACCCAGGUCAAGAAAUUGGAAAGCCACAGAAGGACACUGCUGCCAAAUCAACUGUCUCUGGACUAUGAGUGCAGCCACUGAAAUUAAGGUGGCAAGGAAUAUAAACUCUGCCAGAGACCUGCUCUUCUUCUUCUGCCAAUGAUUGCCAUCCCAGUUUAAAAAAAAAAAAGGGCCCUACCAGAUGACAGGUUUUAUGCCAGGUUUAUGUCCUGACUGGAACAGCCAUGCCACGUGCAGAAGACAGUGUUUCAAAGCACUCCUCUCCAUGUUCCUGCUCUCAGAAUCUGUCCACUUUUUCUUUCAUUGAUGUUCCUCAGGUUUAGAGAUGGCAAUACUGAUGUCCUGCUUAGGGUCGAGAGCUCAACAGUCACUUGUUUUCAACACAUCAACCAGAUGAACUAUCUAUGGGGUAUUGAAAUCACCUCUUGUUACUAAGUUGGGCAUAAUUUGGACCUUGACAUUCUAAUACUUUGAUUUUUAUGAAAAAACAGAGUCCAAAUAAUGCUUCCAGUAGUCUCUGUAGGACUGGAUUGCUGGGUAUGAGUUCUUUCAACCCGUUUACAUGGAGGAAAAGCAGGAAGAGGCAUCCAUGGUUUGAAGUGAGUUAAGAAACUGUGGGAAAAAGCAGUGUCCUGAGGAAGAUUUAGACUAAUCUUGGAAGUGAAACUCUGGACAUGUUUGUGAGGGGUUUUCUACUUUAGGUUAAUUGAACUGAGAAGACCUACCCUAAAUACGAGUGGUGCCAGUCCAUGGGCUGAUGUUCCAGAAUAAAACAAAGAAAAGGAGCUGAGCACCAGUAUUUAUCUUUAUCUCCUGACUGCGGAUAUCAGAGAUCCAUCUACCUCAAGUUCCUGAUGCUGCAUCUUUCCCACCAUGAUGGACUCUGUGAGCCAAAAUAAAUCCUUCUUUCCUUAAGUUGCUUUUGUUAGGUAUUUUGACAUAGCAAAAGACAAAAACAAAAACAAAGUGUUUCCUCUGAAAUAAACAAUAUAUUUGUACUGAGAUGUAUUAUUCUCUGAAAAUAACAAACAGCAAAGCAGAACACAUGACAGGGGAUCGGAGAAGACAGAUUAACAGGCAGAUUUAUUCUAAACAUGUUAUAUGAAUGUAUGAAAUUUUCAAACAAUAAAAAAUAAUUUUUUUAGCUUUCUUUUAUUUGUUCAUUAAUUUAUCCUGUAAUCAUGCACUGAUCAUAUAGUUUGUGUUAGGAAUUACAUGGAUGGAGGGGUUUCCCCGAGGAGCAAGUUUGUCCUGAUUUUACAGGGUGGAUUGUAUGUGGGAAGGAUGAAGUCCUUCUUGAUUCUCAUAUUCCCAGCCUCCAUUGGUGUCUGUAUAUUAGCAAAUGCAUGUAUAUACUGAGUCACCUUUAAGCUUUAAUUAUUUUGGUGUAACCUACAGUUGAUGAUUUCUGUUUUUAGUACUCAUAGUCCCUACUAAAGCCACAUAGAAAAUAUAACAUUCAAAGACAGUUUCCAGUAGAAAGCCCACGUUGGAAUCCAGUUAGCAGGAUGUGGUGUGUUGACUCAGCACAACCCAAACCAUUCUGUCUUCUACCCAGUGGGAAUAAAGGUAAUCUGAUCAAUAUGCAUUUGGCAAUUUAGCGCAUUGGUUUCAUUUCUCUAUAGGUCAUGGAGGGAGGCUUUUGUUGGUUUCUGGUAGCAUGAUGGCUCCUGAACCAAGUUUUAGAGCAGAGUUCCUUAAACAUUGACUUCUGAACAGUGCAGCUGGACAGCUGCAGACCUUGUGAGCAUCUGGGUCUGGGCUGGGGUUGACAUUCUAUAUUUCUCAAUGAUGAGGAUCCCCGGAGGCUCUAGAGCUUUGCACCAAUGAACAGACAAUAAACUAAACAAUAAAGACUUGUAGCACCUGAGAGCAGCUUUUGGCUUAUAAUAAUAGUCUUGAUCCUGUGGUGCACACGACUGUGACAGUAUAUUAGAGAAUACUCAUCUUGCUUUUUACAAUCUAUAAACACUGUGUAAAACAUAAGAUAUAAAUAGGAAAGUAGUCUUUGCUUCUUAUAUUACAGAGAUAUUCUCUUGUAUGUGAACCAGGCAGGGAGUAGAGAAUUAAUUUUGGUAAAGAGAAGUAAUUAGUAAUAACCCAUUAAGGCAAUGUCAAAUCUUUUUUUAAUAAUUAUUUUAAAAAAGAAAGUAAGUGACAAUUGCAGCCAGCUGACGCAGCCACUAUAUAAGUAACUGUGUAGAUGUCUCAAAACACUAAAAGUUAAAUGGCCAUAUGACCCAGCCAUAGCACUCUUAAGUGUGUAUAUAUAUAUAUAUAUAUAUAUAUAUAUAUAUAUAUAUAUAUCUCCAAAGGACUCAAAGAGAUACUUGCACAUCCACAUUAUUGCUGCUUACUCAUAAUAGCUAGGCAACGGAAUCAGCCUAAGUGUCCAUCAACAGACAAAGGAGCCAAGAAAAUAUAUUACAAGUAUACAUUGAUUUUUUUUGGUUCUUUUUUUCGGAGCUGGGGACCAAACCCAGGGCCUUGCGCUUCCUAGGUAAGCGCUCUACCACUGAGCUAAAUCCCCAGCCCCUAUACAUUGAUUUUUAAAUUAAUAUAUAUACUUUACAUCCUGAUCACAGCUGCCAUCCCUCCUCUCUGCCUAGUCCCUCCCUCUCACCUUCCCUCCCCUCAACCACCUCUCUCUCUCUCUCCUCAAAGAAGAGGAGGCCUCCCAUGGAUCCCAUCCUGAGUGAGGUAACCUAGAUGCAGAAAGAGAAGCAUGGUAUGUACUCACUUGUAAGUGGGCAUUAUCCAUAAAGCAAAGGAUAAUCAUGCUAUAAUCUACAGACCCAAGGAAGCUAAACAAGAAGGAUCUGAAGGAGGAUGCUUGAAUUUCACUGAGAAAUGGAAAUAAAAUAGACAUUGGGGGGUGGAUGGAGGGAGGAGACUGGAUGAGAGAGGGGAUGAGUAGGGAAACAAGAGGGAUCAAGUGUGAGAAGGACAGAGGAAAAGAGAACUAGAAUCAGUGGAGGUGGGGGCAUUUCUGGAACAAGCUAGAAGCCAGGAAAAUAGAAAUUUCAAGGAACCUAUGAAGGUGACCCUAGGUAAGACUCCUAGAAAUAGGAAAUAUGAAACUUGAAAUGGCCACCUCCUCUAACUAGGUAAGAUUUCCAGUGGAGCAAUGGGUCCCAACCCAGCCACCAAACCUUAAAUCCACAAUUUGUCCUGCCUACACUGAUUUUUUUAAAGCAGUAAACAAAAGUCAAAGGAAGAUAUUUGUGGAAAAGUAAUAGAACUCAAAACUUAAGAGAAUAAAAGACAAAUAACAUAUUUGUUCUCUCACUCACAUCCUAGAUUUUAAUUUUUUAUUCCAUUUGAUAUAUAUGUAUAAUUGUGGAUAUAGGCCGUGAAACUAGAAAGGAGACUAUGGGAGGAGGAGGGAUCUUAAGGGGGAGGAGAAAACAUAUAUUAAAACAGAACAGGAGUGUAGUCGUGGUUUGAAUAUGCUUGGCCCAUGGGAAGUGGCACUAUUAGGAGGUGCGGCCUUGUUGAAGUAGGUGUGACCUUGGUAGAGGAAGUGUGUCACUGUGUAGGCAGGCUUUGAGGUCUCCCAGGGUUGAAGCUUAGCCCAAGACCCAGAAGAGAAUCUGUCCUGGAUGCAUACAGGAAGCCAGACUCCCCCUGGCCUCCUUCAGAUGAAGAUGUAGAACUCUCAGCUCCUCCUGCACCGUGCCUGCCUGGAUGCUGCCAUGCUUCCCGCCCUGAUGAUAAUGGACUGAAUCUCUGAAUCUGUAAACCAGUCCAAAUUAAAUGUUGUCCUUUAUAAGAGUUGCCUUGGUUAUAGUGUCCCUUUAUAGCAAUGAAACCCUAAGGCAGGGAGCUAUUAGCAGGAGGAAGCUAAUUAGUGGAAGGGGGCUGCAUGAUGAGUAAAGAAGAAAGAGAAGAACAUGACACAAUGGUAACUUUGCAUAAAAUGCCCAAAUUGCUCUGGAAAGAUAGCAUAUGAAAGAACAACAAAGUAAGACAGCUGUGGAUAUAGCCAAUUAGUAAAAUAUUUGCUAGCAUAUAUGAGGCAUUGGUUUCAGUCACCAGCACCUCAUAAGAUGGGAAUGGUGGCACAUGCCCGUAAUCCCAGAACUUGGUAGGUGGAGGCAGAAGAAUCAAGAAGUCAAAGUCAUCCUCUUCAACACAGCAAGUUCAAGGAAAUAAUGGAUACAUGAAACUCUGCCUCAAAAGUAAAUUGACAGAGGCUGGAGAAAUAGCUCAGCACUUAAGAAUACCCCCCGGUCUUGUAAAGGACUCAGCUAAGGCUCCAAGAAUCUAUAUGGUGGCUCACAAAGCACUGGUUUGCAGACAAGAGUCUGGCAUGGCUGCCCUCUGAGAGGCUCUACCAGCAGUGGACUGAGACAGAUGCAGAUACUUAGAGCCAAACAGUGGACAGAGGUGGGGGACUCCUAAGAAAGAGUUAUGGGAAGGAUUGAAGGAAACUAAGGGGAUGGCAACCCCAUAGGAAGGAAAACAGUGUCAAUUAACCCAGACCCCUCAUAGCUACCAGAGAUGAACCACCAGCCAAAGAGCAUACAUGGGCUGGUCCAAGGUCCAUGCUGUAGCAGAGGACUGCUUUGUCUGGCCUCAGUGCGAGAGGAUACACCUAAUCUGGUAGAGACUUGAUGCCCCAGGAAAGGGGGAUGCCAAAGAGGGGCACCCUCUCAAAGGUGAAGGGGAGAGGGAAAGGGGGAAGAACUCUUCAAGGGUGAAUGGGAGGGGGACGACAUUUGGGAUGUAAAUAAAUAAAAUAUUUAAUUCAUAAUAAUUUUAAAAGAUGAGAGAAGUGUGUUUGAAUGUGGCCUGGUUUCUUUACUAUUUUUCUGUUUUGAGUUUCUAGGCAUAUCUUCCCUGGCUCCCUAAAAUCUGUUAUAGAACACCCUUGGGUCUUCCUUUGCAAGGUCAGGGAGAUUCUAACAAGAAUGUGCCUAUGUAUCUGAUCCAGCUAUUUUAACACUGGAAGAAGAAGUGGUGAAGUAGAAAAGAGUCAUAACGCACAAAACAGAUUUCACAAUAGAAGAUGGAGCUUUUGAAAAGAAGUGUCCCAGUUCCUCGUGCACUGGGUGAUUUCCAACAUCGGUGUCUUAUCGAUGGUGUUUCUGAACACGGGACCUGACAUCUACAUGGACUCUAUGGCCUUGCAGUUGCUUAUUAAAGCAGAUGUCUUGAAGUUUGUAAGGCACCUUUUUGUUCUCCCCUCUGUCUCACAAGGCUAUUUGCUGCCACCUUGUGCCUUCUAACCCUUCUGCCACAUGUUUCUCUGAUGAGGAAAAGGCCUGGGGUGGGUGCCCCUAGCACAGUGACUGAGGUUGGCAUAAUGACUGGAGAGUAACUGGAGGACCCAGCAUUUACCCAGUAGUUAUGAAAGCUAUUGUUUACAGCAUAGUGCCACUAGAGGAAGUCCUCUAAACAAGAGUCACAUGUAAUUCUUUUCUGGCUACUUCAGCAUAAACACUAGUCACUUGCACUUCAGCUCAAAUGUUGAUUGAGGUGUUCUCAAGAAGCCUUGCCACCAGGCUUCAUUCUUUUUCCUGAGAAUUUUUCUAGGUUAUUGUGAUGUAUCUUGCUUAGGGUUCACUCGAAAAUAGAUUGUAGUAAAAACUAUCUAAGAUUCUUCCUUGGGGAUGGCAAAAUAUGAGUGUGAGAUGUUCUAAGUCCCAUACCCUGUGCAGAUGGUAGAAAGAAUUAAAGCUACCGAGGAACCAAACCGAGGGUAAGCAUGAGUGUGGACACAGCCUAUAGAGCAGUUUGGUGCUGGGAAGCUUCCACACAAAGGGUAUGUGGAAAGCAAGGGCUAAGGAUAAGUAAAUUAUUGGGAGAAGAAAAAUGACUGAGGGACUGUGCAUCCAACCCAGUGGGAGGAUGUGCACACAUAGCACUUGGAGGGUAUGAGCUCCAUAUCCAGCACCUGAAAAAGGAAAGAUCAUGAUCAUGAGCUAUGUCAAGGAUUCCAGUAGAAGGACAGGGAUCGUUGGCAGUGCUUGAAAGUCACAAAACAGAACUGGCACCAGCAACCAGAAGCCUGUGGAAGAAGGUGAUGGGGACUCCACCUGACGGAGCUCUCCCACUGUAACAGUGUGACUGUGCCCACAAAGAUGUAAAAUGUUCCCUAGGCCAUCCCAUGUUGGGGAUGAGAACAGCUUGGAGCCCUUGUUCCUGGGGGUGACCUUCCCCCCGGGAACAGUGUUCUGUAACCACAGCUAAAUCUACACACAUGUGUUUCCUAGCGUUUGAAUCUUUUCUAUAAUAUAACUAUACUGAUACAGGAGAGAAAGUGAGAAAGGAAGAACUUUUCUCUCCUUUGUUCUGGCAAAAUCUGUCACUACAUCUAUUUCCUUUACUAAUAUUUUCUCUCUUCCAGGUCUCUCAAGAAGGGAGCAAGUUGUGGACCUUGUACUCUUUUUCUAUCAACAUGAGGCUUAUAGGCAUUUAUGACUGAGUCCUUAAUGAUUGCCCUGGCUUACUAUUCUGAAAACUAGGAAGAGUGACUGAGUGGGAAAGAACCUAGGCUUUGCACAGUGUGGCUUCUUAUAAUCUCAGCACCUAGGAAGCAUGAGAAUUUCCAUGAAUUCAAGGAGUCCAGCCUGGGCUAGAAGACCCAGUCGCAAAUCAAAACCCGGGCCUAGGACCACAAUCUAGCAGCUAUGGCUCCUCUUCUAGGAUUGUUAAUGGUGCACAGUGCAGAGAUCAGUAUUAAUUUUUGGAGAAACUAUUUUGAUAAAAGAAUCAAGCUACUAACAAUUUUGGAAAUAACAACUUACCACUUUUAUAUAACAAUACUGCCCUUAAAGGACUGUCAGCCCAAGUUUAGUCACUGCCUUUCUAAUCCCAGAUGGCAUACAAACAUGAAAGAGAGCUAUCAAAGCAGCCAACAGUGGUUUGAGAGCAGCAGUGGAUACUCUAAGUCUUGGCAGUAGAUACUUUGAGAAUAAUCUUAGGAGUCUUGUAUUUUGACAAUGAGUGGAUAGAGGAAUAUAAUAUGUGCACAGAAUCUGGUAGACAGGCUAGUGAAUGAGAAAAAAAUGAGACAAUAAGUAUGUGGGCAUAGGUUCAAGACUGUGAGGGGGACUUUGUAUAAAUUAAUAGAUGUGUAUUUUGUUGGGGUUUUAAAGUUUGGAUAAUAUGCUUACAACUGUAGCUUGACCAAGUAAUCUGUCGUCUACCAUGGGAGGGCAUCAGACUAUAAGUACUCUGUCUCUGAACACACCAGAGGGCUGUGCUCAUACAGUAUUAGUCUUAGUGUCCAUAGUACUUGUAAAAAGUUAGCUCCAGCAGCAUUCUGAAGUUAAUAUUCAAUUCUAAUAUAUUAAAUUUAACAGGAAGUAUAGAAAAACAUAACUUAGUUAUCAAGGAUCAUCACAUGAAAGGAUAAAAAUCCUUAAUUCAUUAGUGAAAUAAAACAGCAGGGACUGGGAAGUAAGAGUUCUAGCAUGAGUACCUGAGUUCAGGUUUUUCGCACUCACAUGAAAGUCUAGGCUGGGAGGUGCAGGGAAGGAUGAAGGCAGGAAGAUUGGUGGGGUUCCCUGACUACUAGACUAGCAAAGCAGUGAGAUCCAAAGUCAGUGGAAGGCCCGGGGUCAAGAGAAUAAGGUGGAGAGUGACAGCUAAUAACUGACAUCCUCCUCAGAACUCUGUGCAUGUGCACAUAGGCAUGUGCACCUAUAGACACAUACAUAUACCAACAUACCCACACAUAAUUUUUUUUUCUUUUUUUCGGAGCUGGGGACCAAACCCAGGGCCUUGCGCUUGCUAGGCAAGAGCUCUACCACUGAGCUAAAUCCCCAACCCUCACAUAAAAUUAUAAAAAGAGAAAUAAUAUACAUAACACAAUCAUAUAUGUCUAUGUGUAAUAUAUAUAUUGAAAUUAAAUUUUACAAAUGCCUAGGGCUAGAGCAAUCAGGUGGAGCAAUCAGCACUUUCAAGCCUGGCUGGUAGGAACACAAUUUAAUUUUAUUAAGAAGACUAUCUAAUAGCUGAAGCUCAAUGAACACCCUGUGUUAGCAUUUCAACUCGCUGACCUAUGUCCAGCAGGAAACUCUGUGUGUGUGUGUGUGUGUGUGUGUGUGUGUGUGUGUGUGUGUGUGUGUGUAUGUGUAUGUCAGGGAAGGAAAUAUAAAGAGAUGGCCUCAGCAGAGGUAAGUACUGAUGAUAAUAAUAAUCUUAAAAGUCCAAAUCUCUGGCAGGAGAGCAAUGGAUGCAUUAACAACAUAGCCACACUGAGAAACUUUUGCUGAUUUACUUGCCAAACAAAUGGUCCAGUUAAGACUUACUGGGGUAAAGUCCCAGCUUGUCAUUUCUUUUUUUUCCCUUAAUCUCCAUGAUUUUAUUGUGGGAAAUUUCUAAUGGAGGGAAGAUGUGGCUUCACCAAAGCCUUUGAACAUUUGAUUGUUUCAAACCACACAGCUUGGUUAACUGCAUGGUUUCAUGUGAAAGCCCUCCUAGGAGUCAGGUAGUCCUGCAUACCUCUUGUAUAUUCCACAGAUUCUUAAGUUCAUUCACUAUAAAGGACAGGGUCUCCAAGGCCCCUGGACAUUCUUCUUCCUGAUCCCAGCUUCUUUUCUGACCUGCACACUUUCAAGCAAAUCUUCCAGUCUUACAUGUCCUUCAUAUGCAUCAGCCCUGUUGUGCUUCAUGUUAAAGACUUGCUUGAUUUUAGCAUGUUGGACCCUAAGUGUUAAGAAUUAUCUUCUGCAAGAAUUCUAGGAAUCUGAAAUGAGGUUACCUGUGGUUGUCUGAGGCAUUAGGGUUUUAUCCCCUCUGUCUCUCUUACUAGGUCAAGCUCUCAGUCAAACUUUAGCCCCUUUACCUUUACCCAGUUCCCUUGAGACAGACACUGGUUAAUGCUAUUUCGUUCUGAUGAUGUUUGGGGUAACCUCUUAAAAUAAAGGGACCUUUAUUCAGGGAACAAAACAAAGGUAUUGGAGGUAUUGGUUAGUAGUCGGGAAAGCUUCAGAUCAAAAAACGGCUACUCACUAUGAUAGCAGCCAAGAGCUUAACCCUUGCAUGAGGACAGAAACAACAUUAAUACCACUUAAAGUAGGACCAGUAGAGGCUGGCAGGUCCCUGUUGUCAUGCUUUGGAAGCCUCAGCCAGGAUGAAGCUCUGGCAGCUCUUCCUCAGGGGUUUUGUGGAGAUGAGGAGCAUACAAUGAGGGGGUAGUGUUAGAUGUUAGAUGAGCAGAAAGAUAGGAGAAUCAAUUUAUGCCAGGGCCACCAAGCAAGUACUCAGGAAAUCAUCUGCUCCUGAACUGAGGAUGCCACAGAAUCUCAUUCCUACCAUCCCUUCUGAAAGGAUCCACACAGGGGUGGCAUGAUAAAAAUGUUCACUUGCCUCCCUAUAGACCUCUCAGACUCUCAGGAUGGGGAGGACUUACUUUAGGAAAUCAAGGAAUUUAAUCACCAGAUAGGAAAGGGACCCAUUCCCUACCAGCCAUUACUGGAGGGGAAACACUGAGGUGGUAAGAAUGUAUAAUCUACCACAGAACAGAGGCAAUCUCAUGGAAUCUGAUCUUUGAUGUUAACCAUGGUGGCUCCAAGUAAGGCUUUCUUAUUGAUGUUUCCUUCAUUUCUUUCCCUGAGGGCUCUCUGUGAGGCUUGAAUUCAUCCAGAGAGGGAAUAGCAGAAAUCCCGAGGUCACAGACAAUGCCUUUUCUGAUAGCAAUGUUGACAAUACAGAUAGACUUUUGCUAACCAGUGAAGUUUAUACAAGCCUAGAAUUCCAGAAACUGUAUUGGGGGUUAUCUCAUCAAUUGUUUACCACUCCUAUGUCAAAGCUUAGUCUUUAACUUAUUGGGGUUCUAUCUAAGUUCAUGCAUGUGAUCCAAAGCUUCUACCAAUGAAUCAUUACUAGCACGGACUAUCUAGUUUAUCCCAAGACUUCCAUAUAAACAAAGACACUAUUGUCAACAAAAAGUUCAAGGGAUAAAGAGAUGGCUUUCCAAGAGACAAAAGCAAAAAGCCAAGCCUCUCCUUGGGUAGAAUUAAUCCUUAAGGACUUUCCUUGGACAAUGAAGGGUCCAUCGACUUGAGUACAAAUAAACAUCAGAGCUUUCCCUAGAUUUUUAUUGCAGUGUUCAUUUUGAACCUUUGUGCCUCAGGAAGGCACUCAGAAGAUCCCAAGAAGAAGCAUGUUAUCCUUGGAAAGUCAUGAAGGCUUUUAUCAAAAAUUCUAUGUAGUAACAAUUUACAGAUUUAAAGCAGAUACAAGACAGUGAUCCUAUAUGUUACAAAUUCUUAAAGGAUCUUUAUCCUUAGAGCCAAAAGGAUAACAGUUUGGGAGAUUGUGCACCAAGGCACUAAUGCUUUGCCAUUCCUAUGGGUGAUACUGACACUCAUACUUGAAGAGCCUCUGAGCCAUGGUAGCAUCCAAUGCUAUAGCUAGUGCCCAUGUUCCACCACGUACAAGUCACAAAUGAAGAUGGACUAUCAGAUUCUUCUCUUUGUGUCUGAAGUGAGCAGUUAAAUAUGGUACAGUAACAAAUGGUGAAGGGCUGAGUGUGUGGGGAGGACAAUGUACACUCUAGGUACUGUGGACUAAAUUGUUAACAUUCAUGUGCUCAAGCUGUGACUACUAAUGACAUCUGCAGAAAAGAAAUGAUUAGUAUUAUAUCAGGUAAGAAAGGAAGCAAACUAAUCCAACACAAUUAGUGUCCUAAGAAGAGAUGCUGGAGGGCAUAUGCCCAGGGAAGUGUUGCAAACUCCAAAAGAAAGAAAACGCUGCAUGACCUUUUUCAUAUGUGAUCUGCCAUGUAUAUGUGUGUGUGUGUGUGUGUGUGUUUGUGUGUGUGUAUUUAGAUGAGUGUGAGUGCAGGUAAAGGCUAAGCAAGCCAUAAAAUAGACCAAGAGCAGGAGGAAAAGGUUCUGGGGAGAGGGAGAGAGCAAGGCCCCAUGAGUGGCAUGGAAGAGGAAAGGAGGCUGGAGAAAGAGUACAAGAAGGAACAAGAAGGCAGUGAGAUGGCAAAGCAAAAACAUUCCCUAAGGAAACCUAAUACUUCACAGGAAAAUUUAGAUAGAUAAAUGAUAGAUAGAUAGAUAGAUAGAUAGAUAGAUAGAUAGAUAGAUAGAUAGGUAGGUAGAUAGAUAGAUAGAUAGAUAGAUAGAUAGAUAGAUAGAUAGAUAGAUAGAUAGAUAGGAAGGUAGGUAGAUAGAUAGAUAGAUAGAUAGAUAGAUAGAUAGAUAGAUAGAUAGAUAGAUAGAUAAAUGGAAGAAACAAAGAAAAAUCCUUUCCUACUGAUUCUCAGACCCAACCAGAGAGAAAGAAGGGCAAACCCAGCUGUUUAUCUGCUGGUGAAAAUGAUUCUUGUCUUCUCGUCAUAGAUCAGUAUACAUUAUACCCAAGGGGAAUGAAACAGGCCCUCCAAUGUCUUUCAAUAGCAAUGAUGUGUGGGAUACCCUAGUGAUGAAAGAUUAAAAGAUCCCUUCAAGUUAUGACUUCAGCAUGUAUAGGGAUAAGCAGAAAUCUAUGGUACAGACAUGGCUAUGAGUAGUUACGGCUUUGAGGAGAGGCUACAUAGGAUACCUCUGGGGCCAGAUUUUGUCACAACACUAGAAAUGUUCCUUAUAUGGGUGUGGCUUGUAUAGGAAAAAAUUCUUACAUAUUUGUACUUUGCGGCUAAACAUUUCUCUCUGCAAGAAGCAUAGAAUAUUCAGGCCAGUCACCACUUGCAAAAGUACUGAGCAUCAGAAGACUAUGAGGAAAAUCAUUUUCAUCAUCUGAAAAUUUUAAUCUUGAUUUUAUAAUUGAUAUGUAACCAAGCACAUUAGUAAUUAUUGGGUAUAAUGUUCUAAUUCAAUGCAUGUGUAUAAGGUAUAAUUAUCAAAUCAGGAAAAUUAGCAUUUUUAUCUUCCCAAAGACUAUGUGUAGAGAGCCUUUAUACUCAAUUUUGUCCUAUUGUUUUGAUUUGUAUAAUUCACUACCGUAGAUUUUAACUCUUCAGUCAUUCUCAGGAGAGCCAGAGGUACUUACUUGCUCAUUGUUUGGUGUUUGGUACUCACUGUUCACACUCUCAUGUUCCACGUUCCCCUUGCCUUCCUAACCUCUGCUUGCUUCUGGUCUUUUCUCAGUCCUAUGUGAUCAGCUUUUAUUGCCUUCCCCAAAUGAGUGAAACCAUACAACAUUUGUCUAUAUAUUUGGCUUAUUUUAUAGAACAUAAUAUUUUCCAUUUGGAUCCAUGCUGCUGCAUGUGACAAGAAGCCAUGCUUUAAAUGAUGAAUCAUAUUCAGGUGUUUAUAUGUACCAUAUUUUUGAGAGCUUGUUGUGUAACACGGGGUGACCCUGACAUUAAUGUCAGGGUCAGGCAGCUAAUCCUCUUACUUUCAUCUUUUCCUUGUCUAUUUUCUGGGCCUUCAAGGCUUUUAGCAAGCUCUUCAGUCCUAGGCUAAGUCAUGUCUGCUGCUCCAAACACAUUAUUUGUUCCACCUUAAGGGACAAGGCAAAGAGCCACUUGAGGAUUUAUAAGGCUCUUCUCCAUCUGGUAUUGACUUUCAGCUGGAAUCCAUAGGUGAUUAGGGCCAGAGAGCAUUUAAGUUCACAUAUACAGUCUUAUUAGAAACCUUUUUAGAUCAGAGAUCUAGAAAUCACACACAGAGACAGAGACAGAGAGAGAGACAGAGACAGACAGACAGACACAGACAGACACAGACAGACAGACAACAUGCAGCAAGGUAGAAGGAACACAGAGAAACAUAGAAGUUGAGAUUAGUGGUGUAAAUGAAGAGGAUCCAAUCCACAGUGUUUCCCAAGAAGGGGCAGUCUACCUUCUCUGUGCAGCCCAGAGAUGAUUUUAUAAUCUCCUUUCUGCACAGCUAUAAUGCAAAACCUAUUCCUUUGCCAUUGCUAAAUUAGCCUCAUAGCCACAGUAAUCUUUUUCUUAAAUCACUGAAAUUCAUUUUGACCUCGUUGAGAUAACUGCUCUGUUGCACAAAGGAUGCAGAUUCGUGGAAAAUUCAAUUAUUGUUUCCUUCCACUCUCCCUCCCUGUUUCCAUCCACACUCCCUGCCUAUUUCUGUAUUAAAUUAUCCCACUCAGAGAAUCUCACUCUGUAAAUUCACUGAGCAUAUUUCUCAGCAUCGAUAAGAAAGCAAAUAAAAAACGGAGUAUUGGGCUGGGAGAGAUGGCUCUUCCAGAGGUCCUGAGUUCAAAUCCCAGCAACCACAUGGUGGCUCACAACCAUCUGUAAUGAGAUCUGAUGCCCUCUUCUGGUGUGUCUGAAGACAGCUACAGUGUACUCAAAUACAUAAAAUAAGCAAAUAAUUCUUUAAAAAAAAUAAAAAUAAAGAAGUAUGACCCUAGGCCAUGGAUUCACAGAAUAGUGGGAACAAAUACAUUCUUUUUCUCCUCCAUUCGCAACACAACACUCCAGCUCUCCCAGCUCACACCCACUUAGUCUCAAGCAAACAUUCUCUUAGAAUGUCCAAUAGAAUACAUAAAGCCAAAGAUGGGGCGUAGUGGCAUAUGUCUUUAAUCCCAGCACUUGGGAGGCAGAGGCAGGCAGCUCCUUUAUGAGCUGGAGGCCAGUCCAAUCUACAGAAUUAGCUCCAGGAAAGACAGACCUACAGAGAAACCCUGUCUCAGAAAAAAAAAUAGGGGGCUGGGGAUUUAGCUCAGUGGUAGAGCGCUUACCUAGGAAGCGCAAGGCCCUGGGUUCGGUCCCCAGCUCCGAAAAAAAAGAACCAAAAAAAAAAAGAAAGAAAGAAAGAAAGGAAGGAAGGAAGAAAAAAAGAAAAAAUAGAAAAACAUCCCUCUCCCCCCAAAACCAAAACCAACCAACCAGGCACACAAUGAAACCAAAAGAUGAAUUAGUCAAGCAUUUUUUGUGGGUAUACAGAAGGAACCUGGAAGCCAGGUGAUUGAGGCACAGAUGACUUUAUUGCCUUUCCAGUUGUUCUCGAAUCCAUAUCCCAGCCUUAGGAGUUGAAGGUAUCUGGAGAGCCCCUUCUGAAAGCAGAGGGCAAAGUAGGCCUCAGAAAGUAAAGGAGAAAAAUAGGUGACCGUUCUCACCUCUAGCCCAUGGUGGUAGAUGUCUGAAAUCUCUGAAGGCCAGUUACGCAGGCGCACAAGCAUGGUGUAUGCAUAAGAGCUCACCUCAUGGGGCUGGAGAGAUGGCUCAGUGGUUAAGAGCACUGACUGCUCUUCCAGAGGUCCUGAGUUCAAAUCCCAGCAACCACAUGGUAGCUCACAACCAUCUUAAUAGGAUCCACUGCUCUCUUCUGACGUGUCUGAAGACAGCUACAGUGUACUCAUAUACAUAAAAAUAAAUAAAUCUUUAAAAAAAGAGCUUACCGGUUGGGGAUUUAGUUCAGUGGUAGAGCGCUUGCCUAGCAAGCGCAAGGCCCUGGGUUCGGUCCCCAGCUCCGAAAAAAAAAAAAAAAAAGAGCUUACCUCACAGCCCUGCCAUGCCCAAUUCUAGAGUUCCCUGGACCCACUGAGAAAGUGGGAUACUGAGGCAAGAUUACUGCUUGGAGGUGCAGCUCUCUUCUUCAAAAAUACGAAUGAAGAUUUCUGCUGAACCCUUAUUUGGGGAUUCUAGGAAAUCAGCAUGAAUGGGAAAGAAGCAGUGACAUCAUCAGGGGCAGGGAGCUCAUGCUGCAGGACUAUGUGAUGAACAAGGAAGGUCGGAGGAAUCCCUAACAACUACCAGUUGAGCUCCCUCUAUUCAGCCCAUAAACUAGCAACACAAGCUUUUCUACCUCUGCUUUGCCCACUGUCAGACUAAAUAAAGGAUCCCAACCAAAAGUUGGUAUGUCUUGGAGCUGUGGCUACCUCAGUUGUCCCUUAUGUGCCUGGCAUGCCUGAGACCCUGGACUCCAUCCUCAUCAUCACGUGGAAAGGUUGCUCUAUUUUAGAUGUUGAUGGUCUCUGUGUUCAUACUUUUCUGACGUUAUCUGGAUCUUUCUUUUGCUAAUGUUCCUUUUUGCCGGGUCUCUCAGCCUUGUCUGAAAAUGUCAAACUCGAGGCCGUGCUUCAAUUUGCUAAGUGCAAGAGGAAUGAUAAUAGCAGUGGAGUGACUCAGCAGCACACUGCAGACAUGGCAUUGCAAAUGAUUUCAGCUUAUUUCACUGAGCUAAAGCUGACCUUGGUUUCCACGCAAAUAGUAGCCUCCAUGGUUUAAAGAAGAAAACUUAUCAGAGCAAACAAUUUUAUACAGUUACCAUAAGAUGUUUACUGUACAAUACAAGUUUGCUAUAGACAUGCAUCCUUGUGUAAAGUAUACAAUAUAUAUCUAUGCAUAUGUUAGGAUAUAGUAUCUUGGGGAUGCUGCUUCAGAUCUCCUGUACUAGCUGUUAUAUCUAAUCCAAAACUUUUGCUUUUAAUUAAAAGAUAUAAUUAAAUGUAUAUCAGCAAUUUGUAAUAUAUGAUACAAACCAUAGGCACAUUUCAAUGAUAAGGCACAGAUUUGUGUAAGCAGAACUUGGUUUAAAUGAUAGACAUUGUGUAACUUACAGACCUUUCUUGUGCCCUUUCCCAAACAGAGUGCCAUCUUUUUUCUACCCCUCUAUGCUAUGGUUUUGCCUCUUCUUAAAUGGUGUCAUAGGAGAUCAUGCUCUAUUCCCACUGACGUGCUAGUUUUUGCUCGCUCUAGUGAAAGGCAUUUAUCUUGGUGCUAACAGCAGUAAUUUCUUCAGUUGGAUUGCUGCAUAACUUCCAUCUCAUGAAUGUUUCAGAACAAUGACAUUCUAACAGCAGGUAUUACAGUCCUUGUCACGGUAUGAGGCACACCGUCACUAGAACAUUCUGAAGAAAGCAAUGUUUGAGGAUGGAUUUGCAUUUUGAUUUUUCCUAUACACAUAUAACUAUACAUUUUGACGAAAAUACUUGAGAGCUACAGAAUAAUUGUUAUUUCCUCUGUUCAUCAUUCAGCUCAUUUGUGUAGUUUGAGGUUGCACAGGAAGUAAUGUGUGUGACACUUCACUGCAAUGCUGAGCAAUGUGAUGACCAAGACAGCUACAGAUCCACUCCAGGCUGGUUAGCACAUAAUGCGAGGACACUGGACAAGAGGAUGAUUCACUUCCUGGAUAUGAUGAGCCAUAAUGAAAACUCAUCUUGCUACCUAGAAUGACCAAUUUAACAUUGUAUUUUUUUCUGGAACCUUCUAUUUACUAUUUUGCAGCUGACUGAAGGUUACUGGAACCGUGGAAAGGAAAGCAGCUGAUAGAAAAGCUAUUAUAAAACCACUUUGUCAAAUGCUGCUUUCAAUAGUUAUUUUGAUGAAUAUAUUGAAUCUUAAAAAUAAUUUAGACAGAACUGACAUUUUAUAGUAUCAUUGUCCAGUUAAUGAACAAAGGAUAUCUCUCUGUUCACGGACGUCAACAUUGGUAUCUGAGUUUACCAGAGGCAAGAGGUUACAAGUGCAAGAACCAGAUGUUCCUGGGGUCAGUUUCUUCACAGAGAUCUGACGAAAAAUCAUUUUAUAUCUCUGGGCUAAAUUUUGGCCACAGUUUGUUUGUGUCCAAAUUUCCCCCAAACAGGACCGGGACCUUGCCAUACUUCCAGAUUUACCUAAUUCCAACUGGCAUCUAUAUCUUCAGUUGAUUUUUUUACAUUAACACUCCGAUUUGAGUACCAAAUUUUGUUUUAGCUUGCUUGCUCUGCUGUACUGAAGCUCUAUCACUGAGUAGGGAAAACACAUGCAUUGAAUAUCUUCGAGUCCAGGAGGCUAGAAAUACGAAAUGUUAGCAGGGUUGGUUCCUUCUAGGCUGUGGAUGAGAAUUGGUUUUACUUCUUGCUCCUCGUUUUAUACAUAGAUGGCUAUUUCUCCAUAUGGUCUUUCCUUCAAGUGUGUCUGUCUUUGUGUUCUAAUCCUUCACCUUUAAAGACUCUAAGGUCAAUUCUAAUUAGAUCCCCUGAAGUAAUUAGAGCUGAAAUGACUCUAUUUCCAAAAGGGCUCAUUCUGAGGAACUAAGACAGACACUUGCCAUAAGCAAAAGCACUAUUCAACCUACCACUGAAGUAUCUCUGAAUAGUUUACACGUAGGUCUUUAUUAUAUUUAUUUUGUGUUUUUGUAUCCAUCAUCAACUUAUCGUCUCCCAGCUCUCACUGCAUAUACUCUAUGAAAACACUAAGCAUCUUUUUUUUCAUGGACAAUAUUAAACUGCCCCAGUAGAGGGCAGUGGAGGGACACAGAAACAAGGUGAGAUUGCCUUCCCUUUCAGGCAAUAUGCUACUGAUGAAGAUUUGCAGCUAUUUGAUGUCCCCACAGCCACUGGUCCAGAACUGAGGAUCCCUCACGGCAACAUUGUAAUGUCUGUGUGAAAGUAAUUAGCAGCCCUCUCAACAGACAAACAAGAGAACAGCAGCCUGUUAGCUUUGAGCAAGGCCACCCAUUUGCUGAUCACCUGGCUUGCUCUGCCUAGCCUCCUAAGAGCUGCUUUUUGACUUGUUCAAAAGCAUCAGCUGUAUCCUGGCUCAUACAAGAUUCUCUGCCAGAAUUAUGCCUUGUACCAUAGGGGAAUCUAAGCUCCAACAGUGCAUUUCUUUCCUUCUGUGACCCAGUGCUAAGCGAUCAUUUAGCACUUUCCUACAGCUCAUUAUUACUCAGGAUCAUAGCUUAAUUAUGUGUGAAAGGCACCGUGAUGAAUCUGCUACAUAUGCCUGAUUAGGCCCACUCCUAUUUUUGAUACUUUGGUUAGAAUACGCUAUUCAUUUUUCAUUACCUUUAAAAUCUUAAAUAGGUUUGCAAGUUAUAUAUGUAUGUAAAUAUAUGUAUUCAUAUAUAUGCAUUAUAUAAAUUGUGUAUAUAUAUGAAUAUGUAUAUAUUCAUAUAUGUUAUUCAAUGUGCCAUGUUUUGGUUUUAUUCCAGUGCUAGGAUUUGAACCCAGGACCUGUACAUAGUAGCCAACACUAUACCAAUGAACUACAUCUGCAAUUGAGAAAACAUACUUUAAGAACUCAAAUGUAGAAUAUUUUUGUUAUACCAUAAUCAAAUAAUAACAGUAUGAGUAAUAACAAAUUUGUCUUUUCUCUGUGACCUUAUACUUCCACUGAUCUCAUUCACUGAAUUAAGAUAUACUAAAGAAUUGUCAAAGGGAGUUAUUCCUCAGAUUCAAAAGGAAAGAUUUUACUGUUUUACUUUCUGUAUAGUAUUGUGGGUUUCUGUUUUCUGGUUCGCUGUGAUGUUGGAACCCAGUGUUUACAGCAUGCAGGCAAAGCUCUACUGCCAAGCGGCAUCUUAGCCUUCUUAUGUUUUUGUAGCAAUUUGUGGAGAUUAUAGAGUUCCUUUCCCUUCUUAGAGAUAUGAAAACCUUUACAUUUUGAAGGUGGCUUGAGAUUUGUCAUGUUUUAUUAUUUAUUAUUGCUUGAGAUGAUUUCCAUGCUAUAUUUGGCUAACACAGUUGGUUUUGAUAUGGUUUUGUUAAUGACUGGCCUUUGGCCAUAACACAUCCCUUUAUCUGCAUAUUAAUGAGUUUUCCAGCUAAUAAUUCUCAUCAUCAGUUUUCACGUAUUUCCCUGAGUUUGGCUGACACGGUCUCCUAUUUGUCUUCAUUUGUCUAGAAUAUACAUAUUGUCAUUUCUACUAUAUGCUACAAAUGUAAAUUGACUCUUCUUUCCUAUGUCCUUUGGUUUUCUUUAAGAUUUGAUGAGGUCAUUAAGAUUUGGUGUUCAUUUUACUUUUGGAUUCCUUGAGGAAAAUUAUUUUAUUGUUCAUUUAUUCUGAUUGCUAUUGGUCAAUUCAUAGUUCUGUAUUUCCUAAGCCACCUAAGCCAUAUUCCUAAAAUACCUGCCAUUCCCCUUAAAUUUUGAGAUAAAUGUAAAGUAUCACACAUGUCCUUUUUAUUACAGUGGAAGAGUGCACUUAUAAAUUCUAAAUGAAAUAUGAACAUUUAUAUGAACAUAGACAUAGUCUUCAGUCACCUCUCAAAAGAUGUAGCUAGGUCUCUUCGAAUCCAGGCUCAAUUAGGAUGGUGACACAAAGGAGAAGUCCUGUGUUCUGGAACUAACUGUAAAAGACAGUUUCUCUGGCCUGCACUGGCAGUCACCACAUAUUGAGUGUGUGACAUGCUGUGCAUGUGCAUAAACAGAGUAUCUCAAUUUCACACCUUGAUCUUGCUCUUUGUCAAUUGCAUAUUCCUUUGCAUUGACAGUUGAAUUUUUAAAAAUAUAGACCAGGCAUUGGCACAACAUAGCCCUUGCAUUCCAUUAUGUUGAAUAUAGGGACCAACUCAGGAGGAAUAAAUGACAUUUAAAUCUGCAGACUUCCAAUCAGGAGUCAUAGAAUAUCAUUUAUUCACCCCAUUCUUUUGCUCUUAUUUAGUUCAGUUACUUUCUAUUCAAAGUCAACUUUGGCAAUAAAUGGGGUUUUUUUUUCUUUUUCUUUUUUUCAGAGCUGGGGACCGAAUGUGGGGCCUUGCGUUUGCUAGGCAAGCACUCUACCACUGAGCUAAAUCCCCAACCCUGCAAUAAAUGUUUUGAGACAGUGUUGACUUUAUUGGUUAUUUUCAUUGAAGUAUAAAUUCAAAUCCAUUCAUUUUUCUCUUCUGCAAACCAUGCCUGUAAACAGCACUACCCCCACAAUCAUUAAAGAACAAGCUUUCCAAUCUCCAAAUCACUUUAUAGGAAAAACAUCCCUUUAGAGACAGACACCCAUCACCAGUUGCUUGCCAAGGAUCCCUGCCCUUCUCCCGGUCCUCACAUCUUGCUCCAAAUGUCCCUGUCCCUCUUGUGCCUAAGCUCUAAAACACCUCUGAAGACAAUCAUCCAGCCAGUCUCUGAAGUCACAAACCCUAGGAUCACUAUAACCCUGCCCUUCUGGAUUCUGUAUGGUCCUUAUCUUUGGUUCAUGCCUCAGUCCAAACACACCUCAGCUCUUUUUAUAUACCAGUUUCCUCAGAGAUCAAAACAUUCCAUCCUGCAGGGGAAUUAAAGCCAGAAGAUAAACAACCCAAAAUAACAUGAGGAAGUUCCUGAAACUGACCAGAUUCACUAGGCCACUCCCUCCCUCAUAAGAGUACACCAAAACCACUUCUAAGUGUCAUGUUCAGACCACCUACCAGCAAAGAUGGUUCUAAAAUGAGAACAGAUGCCUGGAAGAAGCUAGAGCAGCAAAGCUUUCAGGAAGAUGGUUAGACCAAGCGAAUCAUUUAAAAUGGACACUCACCAAAGUCUUUGAGCUGCCUGUAGACUGAGAAGUAGUCUCUGGGCCUCCCCUUUUUGUGAGACAUCUGGUGGACUGUGAUUUGUGAAUGCAUCUGUGUCUUAGUCAUUUUUGUUCCUGUAGGAACCCUUCACCCACAUUACUGUAAGUAACCCAAAUAAAUUCAGUGCUAAGCCAGGUUGGACUUUGGCACCAUUCCUAAUUUUGUCUGUUACAGGAUUCCUAUCUGGAGUGUAAAAGAUGUACAGAUGCAUGUGAUGUCUCCCAAGAAAAGCCUUGCCACAUAACAUCUCUCCCUUCACAUCUCUGAUGCUACUGCAACUUAACUCUCCAUCCUCUAGCUAUUGCUAUUCUGUUUUCCACUCUAUAUUCUGUGCAUUUCUCCAGUGGCCCUAGCCUGUGUGCUCAUUUCCACAAGCCUACAGUCCAUCCUGAAAUCUCACUGGAAAAUCUUAUCCAGAAUGUAGAACAUAUUUUUUCCUCUACUGCAGCAUCAUCACUGACAACUCAACUCCUGUUCAAAGUGUGAAAGCAAGUAUUUCACUACAGUCUGUUAGGAGGGUCUGUGAUCCAGUCCCAGAACUCGGUUCCUAAUUUACUGAAGGCAUCGUUAAUGCCCCAGAGAUCUCCUGAGAUCUCCAUGGGGUCUUCCACUCAUAAAUGCACAACACUACUUGAAAUCCACUAUAUAUUUGACUAUUCUGUGCACAUCACUCUAUGACAGCUUAUUAGUUAGACAGCAAUAUCUGGAUCCCAAAGAUAAACCUUGACUGCCAGCAUUCCUAUAUGAAACAUGAUGUCCCCACUGACAGCUCCAGUAUUCACUGCUCACAUAUGAGUCACCGUUCUCCUAAUAGAAAAUCGUUUCCUGGUAGCCAUGGUGACAGCUCUACAGUUGCCAGCAUUCAGGCUACGAAUGUGAACAAUAGGCUGUAUGCUUUCCUGAACAUCCUCUACUGUGUCUGGGAUCAGCAGGAACCCCACUCCAAUAAGAAUGGGGGAGCGACUAAAUCCAGCGUGAACUGGGAUGCCUGUGAUUUGCACCACUGUAUCUGAAAAGACAUCCAUCUCUCAGCCCUUGCUUUACACUCACAGAGGUGUGGAGUCACAUGGUGCUCCCUCUAGCUGUCCUCCUCAUGCAGCUGCACUCCUUCCAGUGCUCCUUCAUAUUGUCUGCUGUCCUCAGGUGUCUGUCUCUCAUUGGUCACCAUUUCACCUACCAGUAUUCCCCUGCCUCAGAGGAGAAGAAUUGAGGGUGGACAAAGAAUCAAUACCUGGCUCCUGCCAGUAGCAAGCACUUCUAGACACUCGCAUGCCAGGGGUACAGAAGCAAUGCUUUCCCCAGAACACAGAAUGCUGGUAACUGAGACCGUUUGUUCCAUGUAAUGGGGUAUCAUAGAGUACUCAUGAUCUCUCACAGUCCAGAGUUGAUGCCCAACUCACUGAUGAGAUGGUAUUAAAAGGUAGACCCCAGGGUUGUACUACUACUCGCCCUUAAUAUUAGAACUCCUGGGUCACAGGCAAGUGGAUUUUCUUGAGUUCAGUGCAACCAUCCUGGUCUAUAUAGUGAGUUCCAGAUCAGAGAGGCUCUAUAGUGAGAUCCUGUCUAAAGAAAAAUAAAUAAAUAAGUAAGUAAAUAAGUAAAUAAAUAAAUAAGAUUUGUCAGCAGUAACUUAGGAUUCUCUGGGCCAGAAUUGGGGGCUCUGAGUUGGCCCACCCCAAAAUCUCUAUCAUCUAAGAACUGUUGGGACAUAUGAAAGGGCCAGUCCUGUUGAUCCAAAGCUGCAGGAUCUCCAUGACACAGGGCAACAACAGGAUCACCAGGAGGAGUCCUGAUAAGGAUCAAAUCUUGAUGGUGUCACAGAAGCCAGAGCUUGUCACAAUGACUCAUUGCAAUGAACAUUUGCAAGUGAAGAUGUGUGGAUAGAGGGAUAUACUGUGGGACACACUGUGACACACUACAGCUUCCAUGAGGAUAUGUUCCUGUUGUGUGUUUACAUGCAUAUGUAUGUGUGUGAGGGUGCGCGCACGUGUGUGUGUGUGUGUGUGUGUGUGUGUGUGUGUGUGUGUGUGUGUUGCUUUAUUUGGGGGAAUUGCAAUGGCAAAGGGACAUGGGGAUGAACAUGACUAGAGUGUAUGGGGCGCUUGCUGUGAUGGAGAGAACCCAUUGCAACAGCAACAUGAAAAUUCAGCACAUUUUCUUUAUACCUGUGAAUUCAGGAGGCAGGUUUAUCUUACACAGUUGAAAAGGGAGGUAGGUUUUGCCAAUCUAUCUGUUAGGGACCUCAAGCUGCAGUCAUCCUAGAGGUGGACACUGAGAUUGACAGUCUCCGCUAACAUUGUCAAUAUUCACAGCACCACCUUUUAGAAAGGUUUUUCCGAUGCCCCUGAGCCUGACCCAAGGAAGAAUUUGCCAAUUCUCCACAUUGUGGUACUUGAUAUGGCUGUACUCAUGUGAACAACACACAUUGACUCAGGGCCUCAUCCACUCCCCACAUACACUAAUGGAAAGUCCAGGCUACUCUGUGGGCAUGCACACUCUGCCAAGACUAUUCAGGGUAAGAAAUUGCUGACUGCUCUUAGAAACACUUCUUCAAGAGACUACAUGUGACGUAGUCAAAGACUAAUCCAUAGGAAAGGACACGUUUUGAGAUAUCCUAAUCCAAAACUUUAAAAUGCUUUUCUUAUUCCCAAGAAUAAAAGGAGACCCCACAUUAAAGAUAACUUUUCCUGUACUGGAGAAUGCAGAGCUUGUCAACCCACACAAGGCUAUGGCUUCUAUCUGGCAUUUCAACAGCGUGGCCACCAGGGGGCAGCAUAAUCUCAAACAUUGUGUGUCCUAGAGCCCACAGCUCUGCCUGCAGCCUUCAUAAAUCUGAUUAAUUCCCAGGUUUGAGCGCUGUCGACUGCUCACACAGAUGCAGCUGCAGCUAUUCAUUGUCUUUGGAGGACUGUGGUGGACAUGAAAUAUUUGCCAUCUAGUCUAGGUCUUUAGGUUUGAAGUCUCAACAGAAUCUACAAGGUUCCAGUAGAAGCAUAAAAUGAGCUAGAAAAUCAAUUAGGCCUAUCAGUCAAAGUCCUCUGAGUAUUUGAAGCACUGAGUGGUCCUGGUGGAGGUAGCAACACAUGACUGUCCUGCUUCAGGGACAUUUUCUACACUUAGGCUAUAUGGUUGGCAGAAGGGACUGAAAUCUAAAGUACCCUCUAGCCCUAGAGUUUGAGAUGUGUGCGCUGGACAUGGUCUCAUAGACUUAGUCCAGUCUUUCUGUAGUGCAUCUUCCAUUCCCCUUUAGAAGAGAAGGACUGGUUCUCUUGGCUUCUAGAAGGGCUGUCAAAGGACAGCCCUUUGGAAAUUCCAAUUCACUCAAAAAGAGCAGUCAUACACGUGUGAAGUUCCACGACUUCAUGUAUUCAAUGACAUCAUGUUAGGAAGCACACAAACCUUAUCCCUAGGUGGAUUUCGAGACAGCCAUCUCAAUUGCAGACUUCUCAGUGGAGUCAUCUGGUCCCUGUGCUGGUGUUCAUGCUGGCUGGUUUUUAUGUCCCCUUGACACAAACUAGUAUCAUUUUAGAAGGUCCAUCAGUUGAGAAAAUGCCCCGAUAAUAUUGGCCUGGGGAGAAGCCUUUAGGGCACUUUCUUUUUUUUUUUUUAGAUGUACUCUUGACUUUAUUAUUUAUUGGCAUAAACAAGAAAGUUCUCUGCUCACAAACACAGUGCUCCUUCCCCAUACAUAUAAUUGUAAAACACACACACACACACACACACACACACACACACGCAACUUAACAGUUAGUCAUAAUUUAAGAGCUUGACAAAGAAGUACAUGCAUAUGGUCACCAUAACAUGUAUAAACAUAUUAAACAUGCAUACGGUCACUGUAGCAUGGUAUAAAUACAUUAAAUAUUAGGGCACUUUCUUGAUUGAUAUAGGAGGGCUCUACCAAAUGUUGGUGAUGCCACCUCUGAGCUGCUGGUCCUGGGUUCUAUAAGAAAGAAAGGUAAGCAAGUUAUGAGGUGCAAGCUGUAAGAAGCUAGCCAGUAAGCAGCACCCCUCUGUGACCUCUGCAUCAGCCCCUGCCUCCAGGUUUCUGCCAUGGUUGAGCUCUUGUCCUGACUUCCUUCAGUGAUGAACAGUGAUGUGGAAAUGUAAGCCAAUAAGCACUUUCUUCCCCAACUUGCUUUCUGGUCAUGGUGUUUUGCUGCAGCAAUAGAAACCCUGAGACAACGUUGAUUGGCAUCUCCUAGCUAGUCUUGCAUCUUCUCUCACAAGUCUUGAGCAAGUGGGCAUCCCCAGUAGCCUUUUGCCAUAUGUAAGUUCUAGUUCAGAGUCACUUUCCAGGAGGAAGCUAGUGUUACCUUUGUUUUGCUGGAGGAUAAAUGUGGGGAGUGGAGAAAGCCAUGAGUCAGGGAAGUCCAGAGUGAGUCUGUGCUGUUAACAUGGGUACACCUCAGGCUCUGUAGGAUACCACAGCCUUCCUAGAGGACCGAAUGCAAGUAUUGACAGUUUAAUGCAGAAACUAUCCACAAGAGCUUCCUCGCACUGGACCUGUAUAGCCUGAAUACUGCUCCCACCCCAACUCCUGGAUAUUUACAGCAUAAAGUCUGCUCCCUACAGAGACUGCUCCUGCAAAGAUUAAAUAGACCUGUCCCCAUUGACACAGCUGUAUAAUACAACCGCUGUUUCCUCCUUUAUCUGUAUGUAGUAACCCAGUUUCCUUGUCCAGAUGCAUGCAAUAAUCCUGUCUCCCUGUUCAACUAUAUAUAAUGAACACACUGGGCUUCUAGCAGGCCUCAAUUUCUCCAGCUGAGAGCCCAGACCACAGAAUCCCAGAUCCCCAUCCUUGUAUCUGUCUUUUCUCCAUCCCCUGGUUGCCCCCAGUCAAGUCUGUCUCUGGAGCCAUGCUAGAUGCCGCAAAUAAAUCUUGGCUAUUUUUCAUCUCAGUUUUAAGUAAAACUAUAUAAUUCUAAAGACAAUAAUACCUAAUGGCAUGCUGUACAUUAAAUAAACAAGCCCCCCAUGAGGAGACACACUUGCCUUCUUCCUUACUAUAUCACUAGAGCCUUUAAGGUAGGCCCUAUAGACAUAUAUGCAUUUGAUGAUCAAAUAAUGAGCACUCACCCGUAAGUGACAGAUAAAAGCAGAAAUUCCCUCAGACACCUCACAGGAGGCUACUGACCUUGCAGGGGACCAUGGAGUGGAGAGGUGCGCUUCGUAAGUUUCUCAAUUCCAUCUGUGAUUUUUUCCAGUUAGUUCCUAGACUGUAAUGUUGGUUAAAGCACACUGGAAUCUAGGAGUUAUUUAGAGCAGGUCUAAAUUCCCCAAGGCCUGCUUGAGAACUAUCUGAACAUCAGAGUAUAUCAGAAAUAAACAAGUUUCUAAUACCUUCCUGAGGGUUCCAGAAUUCCAACGGACAGCCAUCUUACAUACCUAUAUUCUUUAAGAGUUUCAGGACUUUGCUUCUGUAUGGUGUUGUUUUUAGAAAAAAAAGAAGAUAGCUUUUACUUAAUAUUGAAAGCCAUAGACAUAAAAUGUGUUUUUCCUAGAUAAGAUUGAUGAAGCUAAAACAUGCAUGCUGAAUGGGACCGGAUAUAGAUCUCUCCUGAGAGACACACCCAGAGCAUGUCCAAUACAGAGGUCAAUGCUAGCAGCAAACCACUGAACUGAGAACAGGACCCCCUUGGGGGGAAUUAGAGGAAGGAUUGAAAGAGUUGAAGGAGCUUGCAACCCCAUAAGAACAACAAUGCCAACCAACCAGAGCUUCCAGGGACUAAACCACUACCAAAAGACUAUACAUGGACUGACCCAGGGCUCCAACUGCAUACAUAGCAGAGAAUAGCCUUGUUGGGGCACCAGUGGAAGGGGAAGCCCUUGGUCCUGCCAAGGUUGGACCACCAGUGCAGGGGAAUGUCGAAGGGGUCCGGUAAGAGAGGUGGAUGGGGGGAACACCCCUAUGGGGGAGGGGGUAGGAAUGGGAGCUUAUGGACAGGAAACCAGGAAAGGGAAUGCCAUUUGAAAUAUAAGUAAAGAAAUAUAUCUAAUAAAAAUAUUUUAAAA